AGGACUAUAGGUUUCGUAGUGACCUGCGGAAGGAUCAUUACUGAAUUGUCAACAAGGGUUGUUGCUGGCCUCCAUACGGGGGCAUGUGCACGCUCUGUUUACAUAUCCACUCACACCUGUGCACCCUCUGUAGUUCUAUGGCCUGGGAGGCUCUGUCCUCCUGCUGUGGUUCUACGUCUUUACAUACACACCGCAAUGAAGUCUCAUGGAAUGGAUGUCGCGUUUAACGCAAUUAAAUACAACUUUCAGCAACGGAUCUCUUGGCUCUCGCAUCGAUGAAGAACGCAGCGAAAUGCGAUAAGUAAUGUGAAUUGCAGAAUUCAGUGAAUCAUCGAAUCUUUGAACGCACCUUGCGCCCUUUGGCUAUUCCGAAGGGCAUGCCUGUUUGAGUAUCAUGAACACCUCAACUCUCAUGGCUUGCCAUGAUGAGCUUGGACUUUGGGGGUCUUGCUGGCCUGUGGACCAGCUCCUCUCAAAUGAAUUAGCUUUCCAGUGUUUGGUGGCAUCACAGGUGUGAUAACUAUCUACGCUUGUGGUUUUCCACCAGGUAACCUUCGGCAGCGGAGGUUCACUGGGGCUCAUAAAUGUCUCUCCUUAGCAGGGACAGGUUUUGACCAUUUGAUCUCAAAUCAGGUAGGA
rnacentral:rRNA from 1 species